UAGAUUGAAGCCAGUAAUAGGGUAUUUAGCUGUUAACUAAAAUUUUGUAGGUUAUAAUCCUGYCAAUCUAG
rnacentral:tRNA from 1 species